CAUGAUUUGACUUUUUAUUUAGCGCUUCGUUUUUCAACUUAGUAUUUAGAUUUAUGUCAUUUUAAUCAUUUAGAUUUAAAUUUUAAGUCAUAUUUUGACCUUUCAAACUUAUGAUUUAAAUUUUCCUCUCAUGUAUUUGCUCUAUUUUUAUUCUGAUUUUUUGAACUAAUCUAGUGGAUCUUUUUUAAAAUCUCAGAUUGCCUUUAAAUUUAUCUUUCGUACUUUUUGAAUUUCCAAGUGGUUUAUAAUCGUCGCUGAUUUUGUUAUAUAUUUUGAAAAGGAGGCCGACAGUUUGGGUGAAAUGUUGACCCUGUUGGGCCCUCAGGUUAGAUUUAAAUCCAGAUUAUGGCCCUUGCUGUGGUUGAGUUUGACACUCCUGCUCUGAAAGCUCAUGGAGAGAAUGCCAAGAGUGUUUAAAGCAGUCAUCAGAGCAAAGGGUGAAGUACAUAACUCCACAUGUGUUCAUUCAUAGUUUUGAGGCCUUCAGUGAGAAUCUACAAAGUAAAUAGUCGUGAAAAUAAAGAAUCGAAUGAGAAGGUGACUCCAAACUUUUGGCCGGUACUGAAUCUGGUAAAAGAACUAAAGAAGAAGCACAGACACCUGCACUGACAUUAGGAAUCUUCCCGCCUCGAGACGCAGGUACAGGUAUUAAAAGUCACUGUUGCACUCUUGUGUCCCUUAAAUAUGCAGUAAUAAAAGUUAAAGUGACUUUAUUUUUGCAGCCACUUACGCCAUCAAGGCGAUGUUGCAACAGAGCAGGAAGAUUAAAAUUUGAUUAAUGAACAAGUUUAUAACCGUAGAAGAAGAGGAGUGGAUACAGCUGUUCCUGCCAAAAUGUUUUCAGGUCAGAGGAGGUAGUAAAGCCGUCUUUAGAUGUCAUAAUUCUGUGUGCGUGUGUGUGUGUGUGCGCACAGUCUGAACCUUUGCUCUGCUUGAACCUGUGCAGGGCAGUUGAGUGUGGACGCUGCUAGAUGAGUAUUUGGUCAGAUCUCGUGUGUGGGAGUUUGGACAGGUGCAGUGACGAUAAAUGCAGCAGAGAGCCGAAGUUCUGGAAGAGGAAUCAAACAAACAAAGUUAAAUAACUUCAGAGUUUAUCUUCGUGCAGAAGGACACGGUCUGCAUUUUUAACUCUUUAACGGAGAGUUCAGGUUUAAACUCACGGUUCACCUCAACAAAAACAGAGAAAUCAGUUUGACUGAAUACUAGUUUUCUGUCGUUUUGCACAAAUAUGAAAUGGUGUCGACAUAAUAAGCCAAAACUUGUCUUAGACAUGAUAGAUUAGCUUCAAUUAAAUAACCUUCAAUGUCUGGAAAUGAGAUUUACUAAGACAGGACUGAGAGACGAGGUUUCUAGGGCGUAUCUUGGUGUUUUAGUGCAAUAUAAUAAACAUUGUAAAUAGAAUUCAAGCUAAAUGUAAGAACUGAGAACAGGGUAGAGCUCUCUUUGCCAAAAAA